AAAGAUGAAAUAAGAUGAAAAAAAUACAUAGAAGCGGAAACGACACGAUGCCUCAUCGUAUUCUUUUUUGUGUUUUUUGUGUUUUUUUUGUUUUUUGUUUUUUAUUUU
rnacentral:ribozyme from 1 species